UGGGGAAUAUUGGACAAUGGGCGAAAGCCUGAUCCAGCAAUACCGCGUGUGUGAAGAAGGCCUUCGGGUUGUAAAGCACUUUCAGUAGGGACGAAAUGCUCAAGGUUAAUACCCUUGAGAGCUGACUUAACCUACAGAAGAAGCACCGGCUAACUCUGUGCCAGCAGCCGCGGUAAUACAGAGGGUGCGAGCGUUAAUCGGAAUUACUGGGCGUAAAGCGCGCGUAGGUGGAUGUUUAAGUCGGGUGUGAAAUCCCUGGGCUCAACCUAGGAACUGCAUUCGAUACUGGGCAUCUUGAGUAUGGUAGAGGGAAGUGGAAUUUCCGGAGUAGCGGUGAAAUGCGUAGAUACCGGAAGGAACACCAGUGGCGAAGGCGGCUUCCUGGACCAAUACUGACACUGAGGUGCGAAAGCGUGGGUAGCAAACAGGAUUAGAUACCCCCGUAGUCC
rnacentral:rRNA from 1 species